rnacentral:rRNA from 1 species
UGAACACGAGAUGCUACGGCGUCGAAGCAGUGUAUGUCAGACUUCCAAGAAAAGCUCGCAAUAUCAUAAAUAAAGAAUGCCUGUACCAUAACCGACACAGGUGGGUAGGUAGAGUAUACUAAGGGGCGCGAGAUAACUCUCUCUAAGGAACUCGGCAAAAUAACUCCGUAACUUCGGGAGAAGGAGUGCCUUCUUUAAGAAGGUUGCAAUAACAAGAUCCAAGCAACUGUUUAUCAAAAACACAGGUCUCCGCUAAGUCGUAAGACGAUGUAUGGGGGCUGACGCCUGCCCAGUGCCAGAAGGUUAAAGAAGCUGGUUAGCAAUAGCGAAGCUGGUGACUGAAGCCCUGGUGAACGGCGGCCGUAACAAUAACGGUCCUAAGGUAGCGAAAUUCCUUGUCGGGUAAGUUCCGACCCGCACGAAAGGCGUAAUGAUUUGGAUACUGUCUCGGAGAGGGACUCGGUGAAAUAGACUUGUCUGUGAUGAUGCGGACUACCUGCACCAGGACAGAAAGACCCUAUGAAGCUUUACUGUAACCUGAAAUUGAAAUUGGACUUUAUUUGCGCAGUAUAGGUGGGAGGCGUUGAAAGUAAUCUUGCGGGAUUAGUGGAGCCAUCAGUGAGAUACCACUCCUAUAAUGUUAGAUUUCUAACUUUGGAUCAUGAUCUGGUCAAAGAACAGUUUCAGGCGGGCAGUUUGACUGGGGCGGUCGCCUCCCAAAUGGUAACGGAGGCGUACAAAGGUUUCCUCUGAACGGGUAGAAAUCGUAUCUAGAGUGUAAAGGCAUAAGGAAGCUUGACUGUGAGACCUACAAGUCGAGCAGGGACGAAAGUCGGUCUUAGUGAUCUGACGGUGCUGAGUGGAAAGGCCGUCACUCAACGGAUAAAAGUUACUCUAAGGAUAACAGGCUGAUCUCCCCCAAGAGUUCACAUCGACGGGGAGGUUUGGCACCUCGAUGUCGGCUCAUCGCAUCCUGGGGCGGUAGUACGUCCCAAGGGUUGGGCUGUUCGCCCAUGAAAGCGGUACGCGAGCUGGGUUCAGAACGUCGUGAGACAGUUCGGUCCAUAUCCGGUGUAGGCGUUAGAAUAUUGAGAGGAGCCUUCUCUAGUACGAGAGGACCGAGAAGGACAUACCUCUGGUGUACCAGUUAUCGUGCCAACGGUAAACGCUGGGUAGCUAUGUAUGGAGAGGAUAACCGCUGAAAGCAUCUAAGUGGGAAGCCCACCUCAAGAUGAGUAUUCUCA